UACGAGGGGGGCAAGCGUUGUUCGGAAUUAUUGGGCGUAAAGAGCUCGUAGGCGGUUUGUCGCGUCUGCUGUGAAAACUCGAGGCUCAACCUCGAGCUGUCGGUGGAAACCGUGUGGCUAGAGUCCGGAAGAGGAGAGUGGAAUUCCCGGUGUAGCGGUGAAAUGCGCAGAUAUCGGGAAGAACACCCGUGGCGAAGGCGGCUCUCUGGGACGGUACUGACGCUGAGACGCGAAAGCGUGGGGAGCGAGCAGG
rnacentral:rRNA from 1 species